UGGGCUUUUGGCCAGGAUGCUUUUAAAGAGUCAACAACAUUUUUUCAGCACCGCUAUAGCCAGAGGCUGUUUUUGGGAACAUGGCUCUUGUGUAACAGAUUUGCAGAACUAUGCUGGAAUGCAUGUCAUUAUACUGUCUGGGCACCUCAGCUGUGAAGAUAGAAGAGAAGCAGUAAUCCCUAUGAAUGGCAGCUGAACAUUUCUGCAGAAAACUUGCAGAUAACAGGGCCAUGAAUAUGAAGGUAAUUAAGGAUGACCUCUACAUCCAUGCUACAUGUGAGAGUAUGAAGACACCCAUCAGUACCGUGACUUUUCUCAGCUGAUAGCUGACUUGACUAAUUUGCUGAGGUAUGUAAUAUUUCCCUUUUUUUUUCCUGUGGCUCAUUUUAUGACAUCAAAAUAUAUGAAAAUAUUUUUUUCAUUUUAAUAACAGAAAACAAGCAUACUGGAAAAAACUAGACAUUUAUCUGUGACAUUUUUA
rnacentral:lncRNA from 1 species